rnacentral:lncRNA from 1 species
ACUGGAAGUUUUUUACAUUUUAAAACCGUAGGCAAAUGAUAAACGUUUCACCUGCUUCCCAACUUUCUCUCCCAUAUGGAAACAGAAGCAGAUAUGUAGACUGCUUUCCUACAUCCAAGUAAAUAAAGAUAAAAUCUCUUUGGAAACGUACCAUUUUGAUAAUGAUCUUUUCCUACCCAAAUUUCCAUAUUUGAAAUUCUAAAGGGAUCUAGAAAAACAGUUCCAUCCAAUAAACAAUGUUUGCAUAGUUCUCCUUGCUAGAACUCCUUUGGAGAUAUAUCCUCCUGCCUCUGUCAGCCAAGAAGACCUUGAUCAUCUGUCAUGCAUGGUAACGUUCUCUACAGACCUCAGGCUUGGCCUCAGAAUCCUUCUCAAUCUAACACCCCACACAAACCAAUCCAUUAAAAUUGACAAGUGAGAUGAAAUUCAAUUGCCAUCACCUAUACAGGAAAACCUUCUUUAUGCCUACCAGAUACAGAAACCUUUCUUAAUUAGUAAAGUGUCCCAAAAUAAUAACUUCCAAGUAUACAGAGCUAGAAUUCAAAUUAUCUUAUGAAGUCAAAAUUUAACCCAUAAUCAAGAAGAAUUUGUAAUUAAAUCAGAGAGCUGGCUAAAUAGGCAUUAAAGUUUACUUUAAAUAUAACCAAAGAGGCACCUAGGGCUAUAUCUCAAAAAAAAAAAAAAAAAAAAAANNNNNNNNNNNNNNNNNNNNNNNNNNNNNNNNNNNNNNNNNNNNNNNNNNNNNNNNNNNNNNNNNNNNNNNNNNNNNNNUCUCAUGCCAGUUAGAAUGGGGAUCAUUAAAAAGUCUGGAAAAGUGUUGGGAAAAGCCACAUUAUUUCAUGGAGAACUCCACUGUAAUUCCUUGAAAGCUUUAGUUACUCUAAAUUGAGUGUAGCAGACACAUACUUACAUGUUUGGAAAGUUUUACCUUACUUAAUUUCUCUAAUUUUUUUAAAGAGAAAGAAACAAGAUUAAGGGAAAUGGGAGUAUGUGUUAAAGGGUGGGAAGAAGUUAGAGAAGUAAAUACUGAGUAUUUAUUCCCACAAGUGAAAUGUGAAUUUUUCCUUAUGGAAUUAUAAUUACUAGACGCUACUUUCUAUAUUUAGCAUUUUCCUUUUACCUUUGCAUUUGAUUUAAGAUUGCACUGCUCCAGUGCUUUCUCUAUCAAUUUCAAUGUACAUAAAAUUUUCUCUGGACAUUACUUGGCUUAGGUGAUUUCCUUCCUGGCAUUUUCAUGCUUUGAUCUGGAAAAAAAACUUGUCUGCAGCUUUGAAGGAUACUAUAAACCUGAAAAUACAUUUUAAAAUAUUGGUUUUACAUUUCAGGUCUACAAUAAAUAAAAGACUGAUUUACAAAAUGUAGUCUAAUCUUGAAGAAUAUGAUGGAACAAGAAAACUUGACUAAACCCAGGGCUCCAAUCCUAAAGGCAGAUGGAUUCCAGCCACCCUUCUCCUAACACGCUGGCCUUCAGAGAAAAAACUAUGGAGGCAGGAAUUGUACCAAAAUCCUCAGCCUGCACAGCCUCCUGGGAAGAAGGGGACUGUUAUGGACAGAAUGUUUGUCUUCCUCCGAAAUUCAUAUGUUGAAAUCCUAACACACAACGUGAUGGUAUUUGGAGGUAGAGCCUUUGGGAGGUAAUCGGGUCAUGAGGGUGAAAUCCUCAUAAAUGGGAUUAGUGAGUGCCCUUAUAAGAAGAAACCAGAAAGCUAACUAGCUCUUUAUCUGCCAUUUCAUGAGAAAUGGGAAGUUUACAAUCCAGAAGAGGGCCCUCAGCAGAACCCAACUAUGCUGGCAUCCUGAUCUCAAACUUCCAGCCUCCAGAACUGUGGACUAUUUCUGUUGUUUAUAAGCCACCAGUCUAUCGUACUUUGUUAUAGCAGCCCAAACUGAUUAAGACGGGGAACAAAUGGACAUCUGCUGGUUUUGCCUGCUGAGAAUUCUUGCUCUGUUAGUUAAAAGCGUCCUGACUUUCCUUUGGAUAUACAGAAACCACUGAAAGCAGUUUUGGUGGACUGUCAAUCAUAGCCCUACCUAGUCCAGAGAUAAACACAUGCAAUAAGCAAGACCAAUCAAAUGUUUUCUUCUAGGAAUCUGAAUCAUGAACUGUAAAACACAAGGACAGAAAAAGGUUACAACAUAAUCAUUCCAACAGUGUUCUUAGUUUCUGAUUCCUAUAUUUCAGGACCUGGUAGAUUCUUAUCCUUUGAGCUACCUCAUAUCUUUCCUUUAAAUCCUUGUUUUGAUUUUGUUUUUGUGUUUUAUUUAGAUUGACCAGAAUCGGUUGUUUUUUCUGCUCACAACCAAAAAGUCCUGUUCAUGCUGAAACUAAGGUUCCAACUACUUUGAAGUUGAAAGUUAUCGAAAAUUAUCUGGUGGCUUGAGGUUAAGAUAGAGCAUGGUAAGACCUACUUUAAACCCAAUGGCACAAUUUAAAAAAAUAGAACAUGGAAGUAACAAAAACAGAAGACACUUUCUUAUGUGAUGAGAGCAGGCAUUUCAGACCUGCCAUGGCCCCACUCUGAGCCCAUUGAUGAGCUCAGGGAUUAGGGUUCUUUCUACCCCAGAUUGCUUACUCCACGCAAAAUGCUAGGAUCUCCACUUUAGCAGGUACUUCUAUGGAAUGCAGAGGCCAUUUGGAAGCUAUGUCCUCUCAGUGGGCUCUGCAUGUGUGUCCUUUGCAUUGAGUACUUGCUGAUUCAGUGUUAUAAUGAGGAAAAGACCAUUUUAAACCAAGUCCAAGUCAUCUUUUUCUCCAGGAUCCAAGUUCAGUCCACUUUUUGUGGCCUGGCCCAGCCCAGGGAUGGCUGUAAUCAAGGUCAUAGAGAUAGGAAGAAGGGACAAGGAGGCUCCCAAGAGAGAAUAUUGUGUGGCUGGGAAGGACCAUGGGUACUGACCUGUGUACCAGGAGUCAGUUGGAUGGAAACUUUUAAAAUAGGCCCAGUAGGCAGCUAAAUCAGAACCUGCCUCAUGCAUCCCUGCUUCUUAGUGGUAAACAUCAACCCACAGGAACUGGCAGUAUGCAAAAAACUAAUGAGUUAUAACCCUCAGGCCCACCAGUCCAGCAAAGAGCCCUGUUCCUUAAGUGUAACUCGCAGUGAAGAUGUGCACCCCCUGAGGGGCCAUUGAGGCCUAUUUUGGGGUUGGCUGCAGCAACAGCAGCAACAAAAGCCACCAGGGCAGGCAGAUCGGCCCAAGCCACAUCUCUUUCAACUACAGAUAAACUUUCCAAGUGCUGGUUUUGCCAGCAGCAGCAGCAUGAAUGAGAGAUCAUGAAAAGCAGGCAUAUGUGGCCACUUGGGUGCCUUUUCAAAUGCACAGGUUUUAUUAGGAGAUGGUGCCUGGUCUCUAGAUCUGACAGGAGCAGCAAAUUCUGGAGCAGGCAGCAUCCUGGACAAUGGUUGAGAGUCCUCAAGCCUCCAAGAGACACACAUAAAUUGUACACCUGAGAUGAGAGCCCUCAGAACCAACCCUGAAGAUCUGGGAGCUAUUAAGAAAAGAAAUCCUAGACAGAGGAAAAGGAGUAACAGCAGACUUGAGGGGAAGAUAACCAGUUUGUUUGGUGCACUGCUGAGUUUGCUGUGUGACGUAGAAUAUAUAUCCCUGCCAAAUCUCAUGUUGAAUUGUAAUUCCCAAUGUUGAAGGUGGGCCUGGUGGGAGAUGUUUGGGUUAUAGGGGUGGAACCCUCAUGGCUUGGUGCUGUCCUCACAAUAGUGAGUGGGUCCACACAAGAUCUGGUUGUUUAAGUGUGUGGCACCUCCUCCCCACUCUCUGCUCUUGCUUUCGCCAUGUGAUGUUCCUGCUCUGGCUCCUGCUUUGCCUUCACCAUGAGUAAAAGCUCUCUGAGGCCUCCCCAGAAGCCGAGCAGAUGCCAGUGCCAUGCUUGUACAGCCUGCAGAAACAUAAGCCAAUUAAAUCUCUUUUCUUUAUAAAUUAUCCAGUCUCAGGUAUUCCUUUAUAGCAAUGCAAGAAUGGCCUAAUGCAGAAAAUUGGUACCAGGGAGUAGGCAUUGCUAUAAAGAUACCUGAAAAUGUGGGAGCAACUUUGGAACUGGGUAAUGGGAAGAGUUUGGAUGGCUCACAAGAAGACAGGAAGACAAGGGAAAGUUUGGAAUUUUUAAUAGCCUGGUUAAAAUCCUGAUAGUGAUAUGGACAAUAAAGUCCAGGCUUACGAGGUCUCAAAUGGAAAUGAGGAAUUUUAUUGGGAGCUAAAGCAAAGGUCACCCAUUUUAUGCUUCAGCCAAGAACCUGGCUGCGUUCUGUUUAUGCCCUAGGGUUCUAUGAAAGUUUGAGCUUCAGAGUGAUGGUUUUGGAUAUCUGGCAGAAGAAAUUUCUAAGUAGCAAAGCAUUUGAGAAGUGGCAUGGCUUCUUCUAAUAAUCUAUGCUCAGAUUUGGUAGCAAAUAAAUGACUUAAAGUGGGAAUUUAUAUUUAAAGGGAAAGCAGAGCAUAAAAUUUGGAAAAUUUGCAGCCUGGCCAUGUGGCAGAGAAAGAAAAAGCUUUUUCAGGAGAGAAAGUCAAGCAGACUGUAGAGCAAUCAUUUGCUAGAGAAAUUUGCAUAACUAAAAAUGAGCCAAGUGCUAAUAGCCAAGACAAUGGAAAAAAGGCCUUGAAGGCAUUUCAGAGAUCUCUGAGGCUGUCUCUCCCAUUACAGGCCCUUAAGCCUAGGAAGACUGAAUGGUUUUAUGGGCUAGGUCCCCAGCCCCACUGCCCUGUGCAGUCUUUGGGACAGUGCUCCCUGUGUCCCUGGGACAAUGCUCCCUACAUCCGGGCACUCUGGCUCCAACUCAGCUCAAAGGGCCCCAGAUACAACUUGGACUCCUGCUUCAAAGGGUGCAAGCCAUAAGCCUUGGUGGCUUCCACAUGGCAUUAAGCCUGCAGGUGCACAGAGUGCAAUAGAGAAGGGGGCUUGGCAGCCUCUAUCUAGAUUUCAGAGGGUGUAUGAGAAAGCCAGGGGUGGAGUCCUCACAGAGAACCUCCACUAGAGCAGAACAGAGGGGAAAUGUAGGGUUGGGUGCCCCACACAGAGUCCCCACUGGGACACUUUCUAGUGGAGCUGUGGGAAAGGGGCCACCAUCCUCCAGAUCCCAGAAUGGUAGAUCCACUGGCAGCUUGCACCCUGCACCUGGAAAAGCCACUGGCACUCAACAAUCUGUGAUAGCAGCCAUGCAGAUUGAACUCUGCAAAGCCACAGGGGUGAAGCUGCCCAAGGCUGGGGAGCCCAACCUUUGCACCAGUGUACUCUGAAUGUGGGAUAUGUAGUUAAAGAAGAUUAUUUUGGAGCUUUAAGAUUUAAUGACUGCCCUGUUGGAUUUUGAACUUGCAGGGUCAUAGAAGGAAUGCAUUUCCACAUGAGAUUUUGGACUUGGGACUUUUGAUUGAGUUGAUGCUGGAACAAGUUAAGAUUUUGGGGGGCUGUUGAGAAGCCAUGAUUGUAUUUUGUAAUGUAAUAAGGACAUAAGAUUUGAGGGGCCAGGGACAGAAUUAUAUAGUUUGAAUAUACGUC